UACGAAGGGGGCUAGCGUUGCUCGGAAUCACUGGGCGUAAAGCGUCUGUAGGUGGUUUAAUAAGUCAACUGUUAAAUCUUGAGGCUCAACCUCAAAAUCGCAGUCGAAACUAUUAGGCUAGAGUAUAGUAGGGGUAAAGGGAAUUUCCAGUGGAGCGGUGAAAUGCGUAGAGAUUGGAAAGAACACCGAUGGCGAAGGCACUUUACUGGGCUAUUACUAACACUCAGAGACGAAAGCUAGGGUAGCAAAUGGG
rnacentral:rRNA from 1 species